rnacentral:lncRNA from 1 species
GGGUGGCAAAAUAUAAAGAAAUGUCUACAAAAUAUCUGUCUAUGUCAUGCUGAAAAAGUCAAUAGCGCUGCUCACCAAUCUUUCUGGUCCUAUCUCAAGACACACCAUAGGAUUGAGUUUCCCUGCAUUUUUAAAGUUGUUUUGACCAAUGAAAUGUGAGAAAUGUCAUGCAGUGAAGUAUUCCAACUGGACUGAGCAAUUACGUGAGUAGUAUUCUGACAUUCAAUGGUUCAAAGGAGUUAAAAUGAAAGAGACUGAGGAAAUUAUCCUCCGAAAUGGUCUCACACAGCUUUUCAUCUGCAGAUACUCGAUAUACAUGCAAAUCAUUUAAGAAAAGCAGAUUUUGAAACUGACCAUGGGAGAAAGAUAUGGAACUUUUCAUCAAUUUCAGAGUUAAUAACAGCAUUAACCUGGAAAUAACAAGAACAUUGAAGAGAACAUUUAAAACAUGUAACAUAAGCCACGCAGGUGGAGCAAAAGUCAACGUAAUUACAUAGUUAAGAAAAUUUAAAACAUAGAUGAAAGGACAUUAUUAUAAAAUCAGGGACAGCUUAGAAGACAGUUUGGAAGGGGAAAAUCUUAGCAAAAGGCAAUAGAAAACACAAAGAAGAAACACGAAAGAUAACGUAACAAAUGCUGGAUCAGCAAUUUAACCCAACAUCAAGCAGUUCCAGUUGUAUUGUACAUUAUUUGGUCUGUUUUCCUCCAAACUUCUCCAGCAAUGCUGAUGAAGAUUGUAGAAACAAUUGAGUCACAAGAGAAACUAGGGAAAUAAUGGAAGUGUAAAGGCGUUUAAGAACAGCAAAUUUCUCUUUUGCUUAUGUUGAAAUCCAAGCAGGAAGAGAGACCUUUCCAGUAGGGAGAGAUUCUAAAAAACUGAAUAUACAAACUAUGGAGAGGAGGGAAUUGAGUAAAAUCAUGUCUCUGAAUGGAAAUAACAGAACUUUUUGGGUUAAUGAAAAAAUUAUAUGAGGGAAGAUAGAAGCUGACCUAUAGUUUAGAAAGCAGUUUCUAACAUGUAAUCAAAAGGAAAGGAGAAAGAAAGAAUACAAUCUUAUGGAUGUUUUUCCAGAAAGGUAGAAACAUUGCAGAAUCGACAUGUAUUUUAAGAAGACCAGAAAACUUGUCUGUAGAAGAAAA